rnacentral:rRNA from 1 species
AUCCUGGCUCAGGAUGAACGCUGGCGGCGUGCCUAAUACAUGCAAGUCGAACGAAUCUUCUUCGGAAGAUGAGUGGCGAACGGGUGAGUAAUACAUAGGUAACCUGCCCAUGUGCCCGGGAUAACUUCUGGAAACGGAUGCUAAAACCGGAUAGGUAGCAGACAAGCAUUUGACUGCUAUUAAAGUGGCUAUGGCCAUGAACAUGGAUGGACCUGCGGUGCAUUAG